GCCACUGCUAUUGGGGUUCGGCUAAGCCAUGCGAGUGGAGGGCGUCCCGCAAGGGAUGGCCCCGCAGACGGCUCAGUAACACGUCGUCAACCCACCUUAGGGUGGGGGACAACCUCGGGAAACUGAGAAUAAUCCCCCAUAGGCGGGGGAGGCUAGAAUGCGCCCCCGCUGAAAGCUCAGGCGCCCUAGGACGGGACGGCGGCCUAUCAGGUAGUUGGUGGUGUGACG
rnacentral:rRNA from 1 species